AUUUGGCGGUUGCGGGGAGGGUGAUUGUGAAGAAAGUGAAGGAUGGGAAGGUGGUGUAUGAGCAUAAGCUUGUGAGGGUUGAGGAGCCAAUUAUGAGGAUUCCUACUCUCGCCAUUCAUUUGGAUAGAGGUGUUUCGGACGGCUUCAAGGUUAAUACACAAAGCCAUCUUAUCCCUCUGCUGGCAACAUCUGUUAAGGCUGAACUUGAGAACGUUGGAGAAAAGGAUCCCGCGGAGAUACCUAACGAUGGAAAAGCGACAAAUGAG
rnacentral:misc_RNA from 1 species